rnacentral:rRNA from 1 species
GUACACAAAAAUGCACAUAUUGUGAGCUCGAUGAGUAGGGCGGGACACGUGGUAUCCUGUCUGAAUAUGGGGGGACCAUCCUCCAAGGCUAAAUACUCCUGACUGACCGAUAGUGAACCAGUACCGUGAGGGAAAGGCGAAAAGAACCCCGGCGAGGGGAGUGAAAAAGAACCUGAAACCGUGUACGUACAAGCAGUGGGAGCCUCUUUAUGGGGUGACUGCGUACCUUUUGUAUAAUGGGUCAGCGACUUAUAUUCUGUAGCAAGGUUAACCGAAUAGGGGAGCCGAAGGGAAACCGAGUCUUAACUGGGCGUUAAGUUGCAGGGUAUAGACCCGAAACCCGGUGAUCUAGCCAUGGGCAGGUUGAAGGUUGGGUAACACUAACUGGAGGACCGAACCGACUAAUGUUGAAAAAUUAGCGGAUGACUUGUGGCUGGGGGUGAAAGGCCAAUCAAACCGGGAGAUAGCUGGUUCUCCCCGAAAGCUAUUUAGGUAGCGCCUCGUGAAUUCAUCUCCGGGGGUAGAGCACUGUUUCGGCAAGGGGGUCAUCCCGACUUACCAACCCGAUGCAAACUGCGAAUACCGGAGAAUGUUAUCACGGGAGACACACGGCGGGUGCUAACGUCCGUCGUGAAGAGGGAAACAACCCAGACCGCCAGCUAAGGUCCCAAAGUCAUGGUUAAGUGGGAAACGAUGUGGGAAGGCCCAGACAGCCAGGAUGUUGGCUUAGAAGCAGCCAUCAUUUAAAGAAAGCGUAAUAGCUCACUGGUCGAGUCGGCCUGCGCGGAAGAUGUAACGGGGCUAAACCAUGCACCGAAGCUGCGGCAGCGACACUAUGUGUUGUUGGGUAGGGGAGCGUUCUGUAAGCCUGUGAAGGUGGCCUGUGAGGGUUGCUGGAGGUAUCAGAAGUGCGAAUGCUGACAUAAGUAACGAUAAAGCGGGUGAAAAGCCCGCUCGCCGGAAGACCAAGGGUUCCUGUCCAACGUUAAUCGGGGCAGGGUGAGUCGACCCCUAAGGCGAGGCCGAAAGGCGUAGUCGAUGGGAAACAGGUUAAUAUUCCUGUACUUGGUGUUACUGCGAAGGGGGGACGGAGAAGGCUAUGUUGGCCGGGCGACGGUUGUCCCGGUUUAAGCGUGUAGGCUGGUUUUCCAGGCAAAUCCGGAAAACCAAGGCUGAGGCGUGAUGACGAGGCACUACGGUGCUGAAGCGACAAAUGCCCUGCUUCCAGGAAAAGCCUCUAAGCAUCAGGUAACAUCAAAUCGUACCCCAAACCGACACAGGUGGUCAGGUAGAGAAUACCAAGGCGCUUGAGAGAACUCGGGUGAAGGAACUAGGCAAAAUGGUGCCGUAACUUCGGGAGAAGGCACGCUGAUAUGUAGGUGAAGCGACUUGCUCGUGGAGCUGAAAUCAGUCGAAGAUACCAGCUGGCUGCAACUGUUUAUUAAAAACACAGCACUGUGCAAACACGAAAGUGGACGUAUACGGUGUGACGCCUGCCCGGUGCCGGAAGGUUAAUUGAUGGGGUUAGCGGUAACGCGAAGCUCUUGAUCGAAGCCCCGGUAAACGGCGGCCGUAACUAUAACGGUCCUAAGGUAGCGAAAUUCCUUGUCGGGUAAGUUCCGACCUGCACGAAUGGCGUAAUGAUGGCCAGGCUGUCUCCACCCGAGACUCAGUGAAAUUGAACUCGCUGUGAAGAUGCAGUGUACCCGCGGCAAGACGGAAAGACCCCGUGAACCUUUACUAUAGCUUGACACUGAACAUUGAGCCUUGAUGUGUAGGAUAGGUGGGAGGCUUUGAAGUGUGGACGCCAGUCUGCAUGGAGCCGACCUUGAAAUACCACCCUUUAAUGUUUGAUGUUCUAACGUUGGCCCGUAAUCCGGGUUGCGGACAGUGUCUGGUGGGUAGUUUGACUGGGGCGGUCUCCUCCUAAAGAGUAACGGAGGAGCACGAAGGUUGGCUAAUCCUGGUCGGACAUCAGGAGGUUAGUGCAAUGGCAUAAGCCAGCUUGACUGCGAGCGUGACGGCGCGAGCAGGUGCGAAAGCAGGUCAUAGUGAUCCGGUGGUUCUGAAUGGAAGGGCCAUCGCUCAACGGAUAAAAGGUACUCCGGGGAUAACAGGCUGAUACCGCCCAAGAGUUCAUAUCGACGGCGGUGUUUGGCACCUCGAUGUCGGCUCAUCACAUCCUGGGGCUGAAGUAGGUCCCAAGGGUAUGGCUGUUCGCCAUUUAAAGUGGUACGCGAGCUGGGUUUAGAACGUCGUGAGACAGUUCGGUCCCUAUCUGCCGUGGGCGCUGGAGAACUGAGGGGGGCUGCUCCUAGUACGAGAGGACCGGAGUGGACGCAUCACUGGUGUUCGGGUUGUCAUGCCAAUGGCACUGCCCGGUAGCUAAAUGCGGAAGAGAUAAGUGCUGAAAGCAUCUAAGCACGAAACUUGCCCCGAGAUGAGUUCUCCCUGAGACUUAGAGUCUCCUGAAGGAACGUUGAAGACGACGACGUUGAUAGGCCGGGUGUGUAAGCGCAGCGAUGCGUUGAGCUAACCGGUACUAAUGAACCGUGAGGCUUAACCUU